CCUACGGGUGGCAGCAGUGGGGAAUAUUGGACAAUGGGCGAAAGCCUGAUCCAGCCAUGCCGCGUGUGUGAAGAAGGCCUUCGGGUUGUAAAGCACUUUCAGUGGGGAAGAAAGCCUUGGGGCUAAUACCCUCGAGGAAGGACAUCACCCACAGAAGAAGCACCGGCUAACUCCGUGCCAGCAGCCGCGGUAAUACGGAGGGUGCGAGCGUUAAUCGGAAUUACUGGGCGUAAAGCGCGCGUAGGCGGUCUGAUAAGCCGGUUGUGAAAGCCCCGGGCUCAACCUGGGAACGGCAUCCGGAACUGUCGGGCUAGAGUGCAGGAGAGGAAGGUAGAAUUCCCGGUGUAGCGGUGAAAUGCGUAGAGAUCGGGAGGAAUACCAGUGGCGAAGGCGGCCUUCUGGACUGACACUGACGCUGAGGUGCGAAAGCGUGGGUAGCAAUCAGGAUUAGAUACCCGGGUAGUC
rnacentral:rRNA from 1 species